rnacentral:lncRNA from 1 species
CGUACGGGGAAGUCAUGAACUGAUAGGAAAUUCCUUGAUUAAGCAAUACUGCCUAGGGAUAGGAGUAGGACGAUCAAUUGUAUUUUGCUUCUGUGAUAAAUGCAUUGCUAAUUGCUAGGGAAGACUAGGGAUAAUAAGCCAAUAACUAGUAAUAGGCUCUUUUCACCGAGGGAUUGGGUUUAGGGUAGACUAAGAAAGUUUGCAUGACAAUUAGAUAAUAAAGUGAAUUUGAUAAGAAGAGUAGAUAUAAGAGAGUGGAUAAGAUGAAAUUGUAAACUCCAACAACUCCAUUCAUCCAUAUCUUUUCCUUGCCAAUUGAAUCACUUGCAUGUGCAUGUUUAUUUUCGUUCUUUGCAUUCAACCACAAGUUUAUUUCUUUACAAGUCUUAUAAGAUCAAUUUACAUGAAAGAUAAGGCCUAAGAGUCCUUUGGGAGACGAUACUCGGACUUACUGUUUAUAUAUUACUUGAUAACGAUCUGGUACACUUGUCAGAGGCUUAACAAGUUUUUGGCGCCGUUGCCGGGGACUUGUGGUUUAUCUUUUUUAGUAGUGUAAAUUGAUUAAAUUUGACUUGAUUUUAUGUUUAUUUUUAUUUUUGUUCUAAUAAAUGUUUUCUAGGGUUUUGUGCCUAAGGUUUGCAGAAUGCAGUAUGGACAAGAAUUUGACUAUACGGGCACUCAAUUCUACCAAAAUGCUUUCAACCACUGGUGGGAACCUCACUCAUACAUGGAUCAAAGCCAAUUUGGGCAAGCUGCUGAGCAACAAAUUACUCCAUUUAAGAAAAAUACAAAUUCUGAUGAACUUCUUCAGAGGAUCAUGAAUUUGGAAGUAUACCAUGUCAAAAGCAUAAAAGAGAAUACAAAGAAUGACAAGCUUUUUCCACAGGACAUGGAUACAAGUUUUUCUUCUCCCAGAAGCAUGGAAGAGAUGCAAUAAUAUCACUGACACCAACAACUCUCUUUACCAAUAUAAAUGUGGGAGGACGAUCAACAAUUAUGUCAUCAGAUAACUGAUUUGACGAAACAAGUCAAAAGCCUUAAUAAAGAGUUCGACAAAUUUUUUGAGAAGUACAAUUCCUAGAGCUAUGAAAUUACCUUCAGGAAUUUGGAGACACAAAUUGGUCAGCUAUCUAACAUAGAAGUUAACCCUACGGAGGAAUUUCAAGCCAAUAUCUCUGAAAGUGAUAAGGUUGUUGAUGGGGAGAAGAUAGAGGAGAAAAAAAUGGAGAGAAAUAAGGAAAAGAUAGAGGAAAAAGAAACAGAAAAGUUGAGUGAGGGAGAGAAAGAUGAGGAGAGAGAAAAAGAAGUGGUUGAGAGAAAAGAAAAAAAGAAAAAAAGUGCAAAAAGAAUAAAGAAGAAAAUAAGAAAAAAUAAAAAGAGAAAGUUGAGAGAAAAGAGGAGAGAGAAAAAGAGGAAGAGAUGAAAGAAGAAAAGAUCAUAUGAAAAACCCCUUCCUCAUCAAAAGAAAUGUCAUAGGAAAGAAAAUAAGUUUAAGUGAUUUAUUGAAAUCUUCAAGAAAUUGGAGAUCAAAGUUCCUAUGAUUGAAACAUGGAAACAAGUGCUUGGUGUUCUUAAUUUUCUAAAGAAAUUCAGCCGAAAGAAGAAAAAGAAAAGAAUAUCAAGCAAAGAGAAUCAACACCUACUAAUGGGUGUUUUUAUUUUUUUGUUUUUAUUUUUUUGCUUUUAUUUUUUUUCUAUCUUUAUUUAAAAAAGAAAUAAAAAAAAAUAUACAUCUUUUUCUGUUUUUAUCUUUCUGUUUUUAUUUUUUUGUUUUUUAUUUUUUUGUUUUUAUUUUUCUACCUUUAUUUAAAAAAAUAUCUUUUACUGUUUUUAUUCGAAAAAAAAAUAUAUAUAUCUUUUACUGUUUUUUUGGGCUAAUUGUGUGCUCUAGUGCAAUGUUCUUUAGUGUAUGCAGGAUUAAAUUUGUACCAGGAGCAUAAGAUCAUUAGGAGGGCUCAGAUAACAACAUUCACUGAUGGAUGUUGCAUGAUAAUGAUGAAUGCCACUGGAUAGCAUCUACUGAGGGAUGCUAGAAGAUUUAGGUAUCUACUAAAGGAUACUAGGAAGGUACACCUAGGUAAGGAUUGCACUUACUGAUGGGUACUAGAAGGUUUGGGUCAGGUUCGUGGCGUUAAACAAGCGCUACCUGGGAGGCAACCCAGUUGAUUAUUUUCUUGUUUUUAACUCUGUUUUAGUGCAUGAUUUGGAUGUUGCAUAUGAGAGGGGAAGGAUAUAUGAAUUUGAGAGUUGAAAAUCAAGUGCUACAGGUUUAAACACGCAAAAGUGAUCAAAAGAGAAGAGAAAUUUUUUUAACACUCAUCGCUGAGCGGUGGCGGCGUAGACUCAACUUGGGCUUUGUAAAAGCUCAGCGGUCUGGGGUUUUUGCACUUUGAAAACUUUUCUCUGGAGUUCGCCCAAGCGGUCUGGACAAGCCCUAACACUUAUUUUUCACUUUCAUGUGCUUUUCAAAGAGUUUUCUUCACUUUUCCAUUCACCCAUUCACAAAAAUCUCAUCUUUCAACCAUUCCCUUGUCAAAAGUUUAGAGUUUUUGGUGAGAGCUUUGCAUUGGGAGGCAUUUAUCAUCAAUUGAAAAGAAGUUUUCAAGCAUUUAGAGGAUCUCCACUCAAGUAAGUCAUGCAAUUUCAUUCUUAGGGUUUCUAAAUUGAAUUUUGAUGAAGAACAUGUGUAGGAACAUUUGAAAUUAGGGCUUUUGAUUUCUAUGCAUGAUUUGAUGAAAUAUAAACCUUUUGAACCGAUUAAACUGCAUAAAUUUGGUCUGGAAUUGAGAAAUUUAUGAUAGAGUGGAGAUUAGGCAUUUUAGGAAGGGGUUUUUGAAAAACCCUUGACGCCACCGCUGAGCGGUCCAUUUGACGCUGAGCGGUCCAUUUGACGCUGAACGGUGGGCGUCAUGUUUGUUUGGAUUGCUUGAUUUCUUGAAUGCAGGGACGUUGAGGGGUGUUGUUUUUUGCUUAAGCAUUGAAAAGUGCUUGAUUAUGAGUAUAAUUGAUGAUUUACUAACCCCUAAUGAUGAAUCUCUAUGGUUUUAUGAAUUUUAUUUGAUGUAGGGAUGUCGUCGUCAUCAAGAAGAGUGAAAACUAUGGGGAACAAGAGGAAAUAGCCGAAGAGGCCGAGAAUAUUUUAUUCUCCUAGGUUCCUUUCUAGGAGGCAUGAGGAUCGCUAUGUGGUUGUACAAGAAAGAAGAUUGUUGAUGGAGAGGAAGGCUAUUUUCAUCCCAAACUUAGCUCCUCAGUUUGGAUUAGAGAUUGAAAGAAGGAACUCGGAGAAGCUGGCCACUUAUCCUGCACCAGCUAGUAUAGAACUCGUGAAGGAGAUCUAUACAAAUGCCCUAUCUAUAGGAGGAGUAGAGAUGGAUAGGUUUACUAGCUAUGUAAGGGGGAAGAUUGUUCGUUAUGACCCCGACACCAUUAACAACUUCUUAGGCACUGAAUGGCCAGGAGUGCAGUGCCAGUAUGCAGCAUACAUAAGGGAGUUUAUAGAUCAUGCUGAUAUUGAGAGGGUGAUGUGUGUCCUUGGAGGACAUUUUCAGAGGAACCCAAAUGGAAUGCCCGUCAACAUCAAGAGGGCAGAUCUGACUCCUUUGGCAAAGUACUAGAUGACAUUUACUCAUGCCAACAUUCAGCUGUGCUCCCAAGUCUCUGAUAUCACCAUGCACAAGAUUAUUUUCAUUUACUGCAUGUUGAGGCAGAUGGAUGUGAACGUUGGUGAGGUCAUCGCUAAUGAGAUUCAGAGCUGCACUACUACUAUGACUAGCAGGAUGCCAUUGGGACACCCGUCCCUAAUUACCUUUUUGUGCCAACAGGCUGGGGUGGACACUUCUGUUCCACCAUAUGAGAGGCCUAGGAAGGCCAUAGAUGCCCCUUACUAUCGUCAGUUCUGUAGAGGAGACGAGGCAGCUGGAGCAAUACUUGGGAGACAUCCUAGGAGAGGAGCAGUCCAGCAGGAGGAUGCAUUGCACAACAUGCAGAGUCAUUCCAGAUGAGGGACAUGUAUAUGUCCAUGAUGGAGGCCAAAUUGGAGUCUAUCCGCAGGGGGCAAAUAGCUACUGCCGAGAUGAUAGUGGGGCUGUAUGAUACACCACCAGUGCAUAGGUGGACUAUGAAUGAGUUCCAUAGUGUUAUGGCUUAGCCUCAGGAGCAGGCACAUGGUAGCAGAGCUGGAGCAGCUGGAGCACCAGGCAUGGAGGAGGAUGAUGAGGAGGAUGACUUCGAGGAUGUGAAAGCUGGAGAGCAGGAGGACUCAGAUGAUGACAUGCAUUAAGAGGGGAUCUACUGAUGGAUGCCAACGCUUAGGACAGGGGUUUUAUCUUGCACUUUUGUACUUUAAAUUUUUAGAAUAGGUUGAACUUUAUUUUUGAUGUCUAUGUUUGGCUUGUACACUGUUUCUGACUAUGGUUUGACUUAGUGUUAUUACAUGAUGAAUUUAUUUGAUGAAGAUUGGAUGUGGAUGAUGAUUGAGAUUGCAUUGUAUGUUGAUAUACAGGUGAAUGGUUCACUAGCUGUGUGAACAGAUGUGUGAUGAUUUAUGAUUGUGGUUUUUAUGUUAAGCAGGGUGUGAGAAUGAUGUGUGAGGAAGCAUAGAUGUGUGAGGUUUUGACAUGAUCAUAGAUGGGGCAACAAUAAAGAGCUUUUAGAGUGACAAAAGAAAUAAAAAAGAAUAGUGUAAGUUUCAUGGGCUUGUAUUUUGUCUCUUUUGCUUUCGUUUCAUUUCUAGUGAGGAAACGCUUAUAAACUCUUCAUUUUCCUUUAGUACAAGAAAUGUGGGACUUCACAUAACUUGAACUUAAAAGAAAAGAAGAGUAAUUCAUUUUCCAUAGCUUCUAGUACAAGAUAGCAUAGUUAGCUUUCGUGUUUUGAACUAUAGGAAGACUAGUUGCCUUAUAAACCCUUUGGAGUGGAGAGAUUUAAGUAAUGUGGGACUCAAAAGCCCCUAGAGGACGUACAGCAGCUAUUGGCCAGCCUCCUCACUCAAAAGUCCCACAUCUCCUAGAUCUUGCAUCCUAGCUCACUCCAAAGGCUAUAUAAGAAGGCUUAGGGGUCUCCUUUUUGUACCUUACCUUGAAUCAAUUGAAUUUUGAGUUGAUUUGCAGUUUUGCAAUCUUCUUGGAGAUAAUAUUCUGUCUCCAAAGUCCCUAUUUUGGGCAGACCUUAUCUUGCUCGAGCAAGUGGUGGUCCUCUUUUGAUGCUUAUCUUGGAGCUUCCUUCAAGUGGCACAUCCUCAAGUCAUAAGUUUCCUUUUGUCUAAUCUCUUCCACUUUUAAUUUCUCUCUAUUUCUUGUAGGCCAUUUUAGAAUAUUCUCUCUAGGUAUGCACUUCCCCAUCAUGUGGUAUCAUGAGCCUUAGGUUUUUGAUCUUUUUAGGAAUUUCAUGUUAGAGUAGAAUAGCUUACAUAUGCUUUUAAAUUCGCCCAGCCAUGUUCAUCACGCCCAGCUUGCGCCUUAGUAUUGUCCACUUUGUUUGAUCAAUUUGUUUGGUUCAUAUCUUGCUCAUUUCUCAUCCAAAUUGAGUGAAAUAUUUUUUCCUAGUUUCGUCUACAUGUUAGGAAUAAUUUCCAAUCUUUUUUUUGCUUUAAUUCCAACGUUUUCUAUUCGCAAUUGGUUAUAUUUGAUCAGUACUCAUUUUCCGCGUCCAGAAAAACGUUGUUUCUACUUCCAUCUUGUUUGAUCCAGUUUCGUUUCAUUUCUUAUCCGUUUCCCAUGAAAGUUUUUUUAAAAGUUUCAUCUACAUGUCUACUUUCAUGCCUAGUUUUUACUUUGUUUCGAUUUGUUCUGUACUGUUCGCAAUAAAGUUUUUUCUCCACUGUGUUCAUUCAGUAUUUUGCUGUUGAUAUAGUACUCCACUAUUUUGCAUUGUUGCUUGCUGUUUUGGUAUUGUGGUUGCUGGAAUUGAUCACUGGACGGUGCUAGAAAAUCACCACACUCUUAAGAAAGGAAUCAAAGCUUCAAAUCAAGGCUUGGAGGUGUUAAACCGUGGCUGUCUAGAGACUUGUGCAAGUAGUUGUUUCUUUAAAUAGCAACAAUGCUAUUGGAGGUCUUCAACAAGUAGGUGUCCUAUUUCCUUUUGUAUACCUGUUCCAGCUUUAUAUCUUUGUCUUGGCUGGAUUUAUAUGUCUUUUCUUGCUUGUUAGCUUUGAAUUGAGUCAUGUGUUUGUUCCUCUUUAGGAGUUUUCUAGAGUAAUUUCUGAAAUUGCAUAGCUAAGAGUAAUUGUUACAUCUCCAUGUUUGUAUGCUGAAUUGAGUUUGAUCAUCAUUGGAUUUAAGUGUGUGAAUCUUGCUUAUAUGUUUUUGUAUCAAUAGAGGCAGUCACCUAGUCUAUUGUGCUUUAAUCAAACACACUUUCUUCCAUAAACAUAGCCUUGGCCGAGACAUAUCUUGCAACUCUGCUUGCUGUAAAAAUCAAAAAAUUUUUUGUUGUUGUUGCUAUUUGGCCGAGAGUUUUUUGUUGUGUGGUGUGUUUGAUAGCUUCUACUAAAGCCUCUUUUCAUCUCAAAAUAUACAAAAGAUAUAGGUUUGAGGUUUGCCAAAAUUAUUUCCAACAUUAAUUAGAUCUUACUCUUCAUGUAUACUAGUAUGUUGAUGUGAUUUUGCUUCUUAGUUGUGUUAAUUUAUUUGUUGUCUUGUUCAUUUUGUGCCACUGUUUUGAAUCCAAUUUCUUGCUGUUUUGUCUCUUUAAAAUCAUUAGAUUACUGCCACCUUGUUUUGUGUCAAGUUUCUUGAUUUUUUAGGUUCAAUUUUCACCAUUUGUCUUGUUUUCAUCCAUUUUUUUGGCUUCUACCGUGUGCUGUCUUGGUUUGGUCUCCUUUUGUGUUGAAGUUGGAUUGUACAUCUUUCCACUUGCUUUAGCCUUGAGUUGGUACUCUCAAAUUUGGACUUAUGAGACUCCUUACUAUUUUGAAAGAAGAGUGCAAAGAGUGAUCUUGUUUUUUCUUUCACCAUAAAACUGUGAGUCUUGAGCCUAAAUUUUUGGUGCUUUGUAAGUGAACCUUGGCUACUGUUUGCACCACUUUUGGCUGCUAUUUUACCACUGUUUCUAACUUUUUUUAAGUGUUGCUGCUGUUUGCAUUAGAACACCAUGUUUACAGGUUCAAGCCAUUCCUCUUCCAAUGGAGCUAGCCAUCAUGGAGGUGCUUCUACCAAAUUUGAUUUGAUGAAGGCUAUUCAACAAAUGCAACAUCAACUUGAUUCCAUUCAAGACACGAAACAUCAACUUCAUGCCAUUAGCAAGCGGCUAGACACGGAGGCAAAGGCAAAAGGAAAGCAAACAUAUGAGCAUGAGCAUGGUUCUUCCAAGAAGAAGCAAGAAGCUAGAACUGUAAAUGUAUACCUUCCCUCACCAAAGAUGCAUCAAGAAGAUAAAGCUAUGGACCAAGGCCAUGCACUACCAAAGUUGAACUUGCCUACUUUCACAGGGGAAGUCGAGCCGUCUAUUUUUCUAGAUUAGAUAGCUAAAGUAGAUAAGAUAUUUUAUUUGUAUAGUGUAAAUGAACCUUUGCGUGUAAAGUUAGUUUGUUUAGUUUUAGAGGGAUACGCCAAACAAUGGCUUCGUAGGAGAUACUUAACCAUGGCCUCACCUACGAGUUCAUGGGAACAUUUCAGGGACAUUUUGUACGAACGUUUUGUACCUCCAUACUACCAUAGGAACCUCUUGUUAAGCUCCAACGGCUUACUCAAGAUAGACGAAGUGUGGAGUAGUAUGCUCGUGAGCUCGAAGUGCUCCUACAUCGUACUAACCUUAAAGAAAAUAAUCAUGAAAAAAUAGUUAGAUUUAGGUUUAAUAAUUUACGACAUCCCUAUUUAUGUAGGAUUAUCUCAAAUAGGUCCUCGUAUUCUAAAGUAUCUUGAUUAUGUCCUUUAUUGUGAAAAAUUGAAUCAAAUUACACCUUGCCGUUAAAUUGGGGAAACAGCGUUAAAAAAGUUGAUUUGUGGCUUGGUGACUUGACCAACUGUUGUUGACGUGGCAGACAAUGGGUAUCUAAGUUGGCUUUUUUUAUUUAUUCAUUUUAAAAAAAUUGAGUUUAAUCAAUACGCAACGUUUUGUUACUUCAAAAUUGAUUAUAGUUAGGUAUUUUUGUAAUUAGAAUUUGGGGAAAUUUGGAAAAUAGGGAUUUGUCACGGGGUUUGCUUUUUCACGAGUGAAGCUGGAAAUGAGAACGUAGGGGACCAGCACAUCAACAAUCGUGACGAGCACAGGCAACGAUGUCACGAGCAACGACGCCACCAGUGCCGCCACGAAGAAAACCGUCCGAGCAAACCGCCGAAGUUUCUCGAAGCACUAUCCUGAUAGUUUCAACAACAAUUGGAGAUCCGCCAGCUGAAAAGAGUGACAUGGUUUCAAGAAAAAGAAUAAUCGGUUAAUUAAUUAGUUGAGUGUUGAGAAGAAUAGAGAUCUCCCAAUCUGAUAUCCAACUGAAACCCUAACUUAGCUAAAUUCAGUACAAUGUUAUCCGGCGGUGACUCGACGACCAUUCUCGGCGGCGGAAGCUCAGUUUCACCGGAAUGAUUGCGUAUUAGAGAAGAAGAAAGACAUGGAAUAAGUGACAUUAGGGUUUUGCUAAAAAAGUUCCUUUGUGGAAGUAGGAAGACAAAAAACCAGUAUUUAACAGUGUGAAAACUAUUUUGGGAUGCUUGAGGUAUCAACAGAAUUUGCUCUCAAUAUUUCCUUCAAUCGGGAAAGAAUACAAAAGGCAUUACCUACGACCAUCUUGAUGCAACCACACUUGCCGAUUAUCUUGUUAAUAAGGUUAGUCCCAUUUACUGUUCGCAUCCCAGCUUUACCGUUUGCAUCCAACGUUGUGGACUCGAGUUCACCGUCACCGGUGGUUGUCGAAAUUGGAAACUCUUUCUCCCACCGUGACACCCAAAUCACGAGACACACAGAAACAUUCAAAUCACUAAGCCCCAAAUCGUACCAUGAGAAACAAUAACCGACCAUAAUAGAAAGAAAACUCAGAAAAUCCAAAAUUGCAUGAACAAAUUUGAAAACCCCCAAAAUUCCCAAAAAACCCUAAUUCAUAAUGUUGACAAGAGCCCAGUUGCUAUGAAUCUGCAGAACACCAUGAUUUCGUGAAGAACGUUGUUAUUACUGUCUCUACUUAUUUCAACGAACUCGCAAAGGCAAGCCAUGAAAGAAGAAGGGGCCAUGGAACCUUUGAUGUUUCCAUAUUGACAAUCGAAGAGGGGAUUUUCGAAGUGAAGGCAACUGCUGGUGACACUCAUCCAUGGCAUCGAAGGAGAGAGAGGUAAUAGUUGCACGAGAGAGAGGGGUAACAGGAUCCAUAAUUAAGUUUUAUUUAAAACUUAAAAUAAAAUAAAUUCCAUUACACUGCCACGUCAUUAAAAACUACCAUGUCAUUAAAAUUUUCCUUGUCAGCAGGUCCAUACAUGCAAAUUCUUAACGUUGUCCAGCCAACUUAACGGUAAGUCCUCAAGUGAUUCAAAUUUACAAAAUUAAGGACCAAAUUGAGAGCUUUAGAAAUACGGGGACCAAAUUGAGACAACCCUACAUAAAUAGGGAUGUCGGAAAUGAUUAAACCUUAGAGCCAUGAAAGUAGAGAAGAAACUCUUGAAAAAAGAAGCUUGUCACAACAAAUUUUUCAAAUCCUCAAGAGAUGUUUUCUACAAAUCUUCAUCAUGAAAGGAUAAAACCAAGGAUAUUUCUAAGGAGCCCACUAACAAAUCUUGUCCUCAUUCUUCUUCUAACCAUUCCUCCUCCCCACCUAAAUCUCCUUCUAGACCAAGUAACAUUAAAUGUUUUAAAUGCUUAGGACAUGGUCAUAUAGCGUCUGCCUACCCCACUAAAAAGGCAACAUGCAUUGAGGGUGAAGCCAUUGUCACUAAUGAGUCUACCUCUUCCUUACCUUCACCUACUUAUAACUCUUCUUCCUCAUCAAGUGAAGAAAAAGAGAAUGUUAUGCUUCAUUGUUUAAAUAAGGACAUUCAAGAUAGUCAAGAGGAGAUAAUACAAGAAGAAAAUGAGAGGAAAGAAAGCAAAGAGAGCAUACAAGAAGUAUAUGAGAGAAAUGAAAGAGAGGAGAGAGCAAAGAAAGCAAAAUAAGAACUUGUGUAAGGAAUGGAAAAGACACAAGUUUUAGAAAAAGUUCUACUGAAGGCACCUUCCCCUUCCAUCAUUCAAAUGGAUCCACGCCAUGACAGGGGAGUUUUUCCAUCUUUUCACUUUUCUCCAAUUAUUAAGCUUUCUUCUUUUUCUAAAAGCUUUUGUGACAAUAUCCCACCUUUCUCAUCUCUUUUUACCACUUCUUCACACACCAUUUCCAUCCCGCAUCUUGAGUUAAUGUAUUCUUUUUUACACUUAACUCAAGACAAAAAUAAAAAUUUUUUAAAAGGAUUUUUAGUUUUCCCUAAGCAAAUAAAUCCAAUUUCAAAGACCCAUUCUUUCAAUAUUCCUUUUUUAUAUACAUUGUUUGGUAAACAUCAAUUUAUUCACAUAAUGUUUGAUGUUUUUUGCAGGUUAACAUUUGAUCCAGGAGGAGUUUCCUUUGGAUUAUAAACAAAUAAGUCAUUAAUCUCUCUUUGUUGCAGGUUUUUCAAGAUUUGAGGUCGAAUCCUCUCCAACCUGGGGGGGAUGAUAUGAUCAUAGAUGGGGCAACAAUGAAGAGCUUUUAGAGUGACAAAAAUAAUAAAAAGGAAUAGUGUAGGUUUCAUGGGCUUGUAUUUUGCCUCUUUUGCUUUGUUUCAUUUCUAGUGAGAAAACAUUUAUAAACUCUUCAUUUUCCUUUAGUACAAGCAAUGUGGGACUUCACAUAGCUUGAAAUUAAAAGAAAAGAAGAGUAAUUCGUUUUCCAUAGCUUCUAGUACAAGAUAGCAUAGUUAGCUUUCGUGUUUUGAACUAUAGGAGAACUAGUUGCCUUAUAAACCCUUUGGAGUGGAUAGAUUUAAGCAAUGUGGGACUCAAAAGCCCCUAGAGGACGUACAGCAGCUGCUGGCCAGCCUCCUCACUCAAAAGUCCCACAUCUCCUAGAUCUUGCAUCCUAGCUCACUCCAAAGGCUAUAUAAGAAGGCUUAGGGGUCUCCUUUUUGUACCUUACCUUGAAUCAAUGGAAUUUUGAGUUGAUUUGCACUUUUGCAAUCUUCUUUGAGAUAGUAUUCUGUCUCCAAAGUCCCUAUUUUGGGUAGACCUUAUCUUGCUCGAGUAAGUGGCGGUCCUCCUUUGAUGCUUAUCUUGGAGUUUCCUUCAAAUGGCGCAUCCUCAAGUCAUAAGUUUCUUUUUCUCUAAUCUCUUCCACUUUUAAUUUCUCUCCAUUUCUUGUAUGCCAUUUUAGAAUAUUCUCUAUAGGUAUGCACUUCCCCAUCAGGUUUUCAGGUCCAGAGUGUUCAUUGAUAAUUGUGCUAUUCGUAUGGAAGCAUGGAUGAUAUUGCAUGAAUCUUUACACUUGAUUGAAUUACAUGUUUAUGUCAUAUGAUCAAGGCCAUUUUUGAAAGCCCUUACUUAGCCAAAUUUUUGCCCAAAGUGAUUGAAAUGAUGAUUUACCCUUUUUGAACCUUAGCCUUAAACAGGAUAAAUACCCUUGCUUUGAAAAAUAUUUACCUUGAGUUGGGUUGAGAAUUAUUGUAUGGUAUUGAAAAGGUUCAAGUUUGGGGUUGUUUGGGGAAACCUGAAAGGCAAAAGAAAGGCAUUGAGCUCAAGUGUGAAUAAAAGAAAAAGCAUGAGAAAAAGAAAAGAAGAAAAGAAAAAGCAUGAAGGAUGAGCUCAAUGUAAAAAUAAAAGGAAAGGGAAGGAUUUGGUAAUGAGUGAGAAUUGGUUAAGAAGAGAGUUUGUGCUUGAACUUUGAAUGGUAAAAUAGCUCUCUUGACUCAAGGAUUUUGUGAUCCAGAAAAAUCAAUUUUUCUUAUUAGCCCAACCUCAUUAUAAGCCUUGGAAAAGUCCUUGUGAUGGCAUUUGCAUGUGAGAAUAUUGAUUGUAUUAGAUGAAGGGCAAUUUUGUUUCAGGUGACAUGUGAGUAGUAGAGAGUUAGAGUACCCUCUUAAACACUUGAGUGAUUGAGUGAAACACUUUCUUAGAGAGAAUUGAUAAAAUCCAUAUUUUCAUCUAUGCUUAAUUGAUUGAUCAUUCAUAAGUAAAACAUCUGUUGGAAAAUAUAUGAUCAUUUGAACUGAAUUGUAUUGAAAGCAUGCAUGCAUCUUGAUAAGAUUGCACUGAAAAUCUGAAUUGAUUGAUGACUUGUUGUGAGAAGAAUGAGCUUUGAGAUUGUUGAACUAUUUUGUUGAAAAAGUGGAAAGCCAAGUUUUGUCUUGUUUGCUUGUGGACAAACCAAGUUCUAAGUUUGGGGUUGUAAUAACAGUCUCAAAAUAGUUAUUUUCAUGCUUAAAUUUGAUAUCAAAACACACCCUUUAUGGCUUAAAAUGAGCUUAGAAUCAAGUAAAACACUUAGUUGAGUCACAUGAGAGUCAAAAGUUGUUUUUAGAGAUAUUAUGCUUGUUUUUGCAUUGUUUUGCAGGGUUUUGAUGAGAAUUGAAGAUGGAAGUGCAGUAGGGAGGACUUGGACUCAAGAAAAGAGGAAAAAAAGGAAGAAAAGAAGAGUCAAGUCCACCACUCAGCACCAAAUUCCAACGCUGAGCACCAGACACGUAGGGAAAUCCACUGCUUCUCGCCCAAGCGGUACUGCUGAGCGUCCAGAACGAUUAGAGGCAAACCGUUGAGUGGUCCUGCGAUUAGAGGCAAAUCGCUGAGUGGCCAAUUUAGGCCCUGAGUGGUGCAAUGUUGGGCCGAGCUUAAAUUUUGUUACUUUUAUACUUUAUAAAUAGCCCAGUGCGACCCUCAAAGUAUUCUUUUGGCAAGCAAAGAAGUCCAGAGCGGUUCUACACUCCUUAGAGACAGUUUCUUGGAUGCUUAGGUUCCAACUUAUCAAAUCUAGGGUUUUCUCUUCCAUUCUUUCUUUUAAUUCCAUCUAGUUUUACCAUGUCCACGAUGAACUAAACCCUUUGUUGUUGGGGAACAAUGUAAUCUUUUGAAACUCUCUUAUAUUGAAAUUCUUCUUUUACUCAUAUGUUGUCAUAUGCUUAUAUUAUCAAUUGUUGGGUUUCUUAUCUAUGCUUAAAGCUUUUAUCGUUUAACUCAUUCGAUAUAAAGAUAUUUGGCUUUGUCGAUACGGGAACGUAUGGGGAAGUCAUGAACUGAUAGGAAAUUCCUUAAUUAAGCAAUACUGCCUAGAGAUACGAGUAGGACGAUCAAUUGUAUUUUACUUCUGUGAUGAAUGCAUUGCUAAUUGCUAGGGGAGACUAAGGAUAGUAAGCCAGUAACUAGUAAUAGACUCUUUUCGCUGAGGGAUCGGGUUUAGGGUAGACUAAGAAAGUUUGCAUGACAAUUAGAUAAUAAAGCGAAUUUAAUAAGAAGAGUAGAUAUAAGAGAGUGGAUUAGAUGAAAUUGUAAACCUCAACAACUCCAUUCAUUCAUAUAUUUUCCUUGCCAAUUGAAUCACUUGCAUGUGCAUGUUUAUUUUCGUUCUUAGCAUUCAACCACAAGUUUAUUUCUUUACAAGUCUUAUAAGAUCAAUUUACAUGAAAGAUAAGGCCUAAGAGUCCUUUGGGAGAGGAUACUCGGACUUACCGUUUAUAUAUUACUUGAUAAUGAUCUGGUACACUUGCUAGAGGCUUAACAGCGAGCUUCUAGCGUUGAGGGCCCCAAAAAUGGGCAGUCAAGCAUCCUGCGACUUUUGUAGCUUUCUCUUCUAGUGCUUUCUUUGUUUUUUCUAGGUUCCAACUCUUUGGUACUUUAACUCCUCAUCCAAAUCCUUCAAAUUUCCUAUAACCUCAACUCUCUUUAUUCUCAAAUUAAACUAAAAACAAGAGUUUAAGCAAUUUUCUAAGUCAAAAAGGGUUCAUU